rnacentral:other from 1 species
CGUUCUCUGCCGUGUACGACAGCGUGCCCAACAUUUUGCCUUGUUCCUAUCGACUACCCCGGGUUUGCAGUGCUGAGGUCGUUGUGCAAGUCCGCCAUGAGCGGAAAGCCUGAGGUCUCGCGAGCUGUCCCACCUGUUAACGGGGUUCAAGGUCGUUCUGUGCGCAUCGGCACGGCGGAGGACGU